rnacentral:rRNA from 1 species
AAAUUGAAGAGUUUGAUCAUGGCUCAGAUUGAACGCUGGCGGCAGGCCUAACACAUGCAAGUCGAACGGUAACAGGAAGCAGCUUGCUGCUUCGCUGACGAGUGGCGGACGGGUGAGUAAUGUCUGGGAAACUGCCUGAUGGAGGGGGAUAACUACUGGAAACGGUGGCUAAUACCGCAUAACGUCGCAAGACCAAAGAGGGGGACCUUCGGGCCUCUUGCCAUCAGAUGUGCCCAGAUGGGAUUAGCUAGUUGGUGAGGUAACGGCUCACCAAGGCGACGAUCCCUAGCUGGUCUGAGAGGAUGACCAGCCACACUGGAACUGAGACACGGUCCAGACUCCUACGGGAGGCAGCAGUGGGGAAUAUUGCACAAUGGGCGCAAGCCUGAUGCAGCCAUGCCGCGUGUAUGAAGAAGGCCUUCGGGUUGUAAAGUACUUUCAGCGGGGAGGAAGGUGUUGUGGUUAAUAACCGCAGCAAUUGACGUUACCCGCAGAAGAAGCACCGGCUAACUCCGUGCCAGCAGCCGCGGUAAUACGGAGGGUGCAAGCGUUAAUCGGAAUUACUGGGCGUAAAGCGCACGCAGGCG